GUUUUUGUUGUUUUGAGACAGAGUCUGGCAAAGUCACUAGAUUGUCCAAAUUGGGCUCAAAUCUGUGAUCCUCCUGCCUCACCUCCUGGAGUGUUAGGACUACAGGAGAGAGUUGGAUACCUGAGUGUUUCAUGCAGCCCCUACUGACUGCUGGCUCAGUUUCCGAGGGCCUCAGACUUGGUACACCAUGAUUCUUAGGACACUGCCUCUUGUCUACAGCUCAGUCAAGGUUUCCUGGGUUGUGAAUGCAACCAGGGGACCAGUGAGCAGCAGCAAGGAGGACCCAGCAUGCCACCCCAGUGACUCUUGGGUGAUUAAAAAAGGAAUAGUAAUCACUGGGUGUGAUGGUGCAUGUUUGUGAUCUCAGCACUUGAGGCUGAGGUCAGCCUAGGUACACAGUGAGACACUGUCUCAAGAAAAAAAUAUCAGGUGGGGAGUGGGGUUUAGCUCCGCAGCACAGUGUCUGCUCGGCAAGUGUGAGGUCAUGAGUUCAAUUCCCGGUACAGAACACCAACAACAAAAAUCCAAAAAGUAAAAAUAAAUAAGAAAGAAACAGUGUAA